CCUACGGGAGGCUGCAGUGGGGAAUAUUGCACAAUGGGCGCAAGCCUGAUGCAGCCAUGCCGCGUGUGUGAAGAAGGCCUUCGGGUUGUAAAGCACUUUCAGCGGGGAGGAAGGCGGUGAGGUUAAUAACCUCAUCGAUUGACGUUACCCGCAGAAGAAGCACCGGCUAACUCCGUGCCAGCAGCCGCGGUAAUACGGAGGGUGCAAGCGUUGAUCGGAAUUACUGGGCGUAAAGCGCACGCAGGCGGUCUGUCAAGUCGGAUGUGAAAUCCCCGGGCUCAACCUGGGAACUGCAUUCGAAACUGGCAGGCUAGAGUCUUGUAGAGGGGGGUAGAAUUCCAGGUGGAGCGGUGAAAUGCGUAGAGAGCUGGAGGAAUACCGGUGGCGAAGGCGGCCCCCUGGACAAAGACUGACGCUCAGGUGCGAAAGCGUGGGGAGCAAACAGGAUUAGAUACCCCGGUAGUC
rnacentral:rRNA from 1 species